GACGAACGCUGGCGGCGUGCUUAACACAUGCAAGUCGAACGGAAAGGCCCUGCUUUUGCGGGGUGCUCGAGUGGCGAACGGGUGAGUAACACGUGAGUAACCUGCCCUUGACUUUGGGAUAACUUCAGGAAACUGGGGCUAAUACCGGAUAGGAGCUCCUGCUGCAUGGUGGGGGUUGGAAAGUUUCGGCGGUUUGGGAUGGACUCUCGGCUUAUCAGCUUGUUGGUGGGGUAGUCGCUUACCAUGGCUUUGACGGGUAGCCGGCCUGAGAGGGUGACCGCCCACAUUGGGACUGAGGUACGCCCCAGACUCCUUCGGGGGGCAGCAGUGGGGAAUAUUGCACAAUGGGCGGAAGCCUGAUGCAGCAACGCCGCGUGCGGGAUGACGGCCUUCGGGUUGUAAACCGCUUUCGCCUGUGACGAAGCGUGAGUGACGGUAAUGGGUAAAAAAGCACCGGCUAACUACGUG
rnacentral:rRNA from 1 species